AUAGAGUGGGGGGAACUACAAAAAAUAACUGCACUACAUUGAAGUACCACUGCAGUACAAAGUAGUAAAACUGCAGGACAAUGAAGUGCAACUGUAGAUUUGCAGUAUAAUGAAGUAUAUAACUGCAGUUCAUUAAAGUUCAACAGCAGUAAAACUGUAGUACAGUGAAGUACAACUGUAGAUUUGCAGUAUAAUGAAGUACAGAUUGCAUGUGAAGAUUUCAGAUGCAAAAACGUCUAAGUCUGUCUCAUUUAUUUACAGUAGGCGGUUGUUGUUGUUUUUUUUUAUGUAGACUCCCUAUAAAAAUAUUUGUACAAAAAUAUUUUUGUACAAAAAAUAUUUGCCUAUGGAAUAUUUCACCCACAUAGAUUAAUAGCCUGCACGUGACAAGAUCUUCCUUCGUGCUAACAGUCAUUGUCCUGACAACGAGUCUCGCGAGUAGCUGAGAUUACUGAUAACGGUAAAUCAGCGUCUUUUCCAUAGUGUCUGCUACAGGAUGGAUAUAAAAGUAUAAAAUAGGUUUUGGUUUGACAACUUCGUUCAUAUGUGAACUAUCACAAGAAAAGCAUAAAGACAUAACAACAUUACACCCCGAGGCCACUCACAAGUGGGACAAAAGAGAAGAACUGCUUUCUGGAAGAGAAGUUCAUCAGGCGAGUUGGAGCGUUGACUUUGUCGAGUCAUCCAGUUUAGCGGAGAGCUUCAACCCCUAACUGACAUGAGGAAAAAGAUAAUUGAAAAGUGUUCCAUUGAUAGUGUACCCAUCUUUGCAACAGAGGAAGCAUUAGGAGAGAGGAGAAGAGAGAAAGUGAAAAGGCACUCAACAGAUGUUGGAAAAUGCACUGAUAACAACCAAAAAAAGAAGACCAAAAAUAUCAUUCAACAGAAGUUAAUGGCUGUGGUGAAGGAAGCACUCAAAUAAUGGAACUAAGACCUGUGGGAGUGCUGGAGAAAUCAAGUGUACCAAGUCCUCUGUCUCCUCAGCCAUGUAAGAGAUCUUCAGACAUGAAGAGAUUGAGGAGUUAAUCAAAGAGCUAAAAGAAGAUUUACAAUAUUAGUGCCAAUUCAGUAUGAAAACGGAGAGAGAGCUGAGGGAGUGGAAAGAAAUGUAUGUUAUUGUGCAAGGGGUAGUUGCAUGGACUCA